rnacentral:rRNA from 1 species
AGAUUGAACGCUGGCGGCGUGCCUAAUACAUGCAAGUCGAGCGGUAACAGGUGUAGCAAUACAUGCUGACGAGCGGCGAACGGGUGAGUAAUGCUUCGGAAUCUGCCUAGUAGUGGGGAAUAACUAACCGAAAGGUUAGCUAAUGCCGCAUACGACCUAUGGGUGAAAGCGGGGGAUCGUAAGACCUCGCGCUGUUAGAUGAGCCGAAGUCGGAUUAGCUAGUUGGUAGGGUAACGGCCUACCAAGGCGACGACGGGUA